UGGGAGAGAUGCACCAACUUUACUCUUCACGUAAUACAUCUCUCUCACCCUCUCUUGCGAUCUCAGGACUCCAUGACCCCCCCGCCUCUCUCUCUCUCUCUCUCUCUCUCUCUCUCUCCCCUUGUUAACUACUCCAUGGCAGCCAUUAAUGCCGGUCUUCUCUCACUCACUUGCCAUAAGCUCCUCAGGUACAGAGAGAGAGAGUAUGAGCAAAGUAAGGAAAACCAUUCAACUUGGCCAUGGAACCCGACUUCCAGAAAUUGCAUAAGAGAGAGAAAGUUGGUUCUAUGGUUCUUUGGUUGGUGAGGGGGGUCAGCGGAGAAGAAGAAUUGAAGGAACGAAUUCGGAUUGUCAAAUCUUUAUUUGCUUCUCUUGAUAGUAGAUUGUGUUCCAAUUAUUCGUUUCAGUGGUUUGAUUUUUUAGGAUCUAUAAUUAAACCAUCAUAACUUGGGUUAAGAUAUUAUGUAGUUAGAUUUGGAGGAAAUAGCUAGAACUUAACUUGAAAGUGCAGAAACUAUUUCUAUGGCUUUCUCCGAUUUAUGUUCUUCGCUGUGGUUUGCAUGUUGUUUGGUUUGGCUAAUGUGGCUGCAAAUUUUUUUUUUUUUAGGGUUUGUUGGUUGUCGAUCGAAGGUUCCGUGAAUGCAUAUUCUAGGGUUAGGGUUUUGGUUGAAAGAAAAAACAGAGAAGAAAUGGGCCAAUAGUUGCUGAUCUACAGCUUCAUGGCUCCAAAUUGAGGGUUCAGAUAUUCUAAAGGUCCAUAUGCAUGAGUUAAAUACAUGUUUGGCGAGCCCAUACUUCCCAACCAACCCAACGAAGGGAUGAGAAAACCCGAAUGAGACAAAAGAGGGCAUUUAUAUUGGUAAGAUCCCUUUCACUCCUUUGUAGGUAUUUUUUGUCCACUCUUCAGCCCAAAGCUAUUACUUUAUUUAUUUUCCAUUUUUAUGCCUCAAGAAUCCUAUAAAAGAUCAGAUGAGAAAAGGAAAAUGAAGAGUUUAGUGUUUUAUAUAUCCCUCACGGUUAUGGGAUGUCCUAGAAUCAUCGUUCAAAAUGUCCAUGUUUACUUUGUUUUCAUUUAUUGUCAUAACUGCGAAGGGCAAACAACAAAGAGCUCACAUUAAACUUUAGACUUUCUUCUUCUCAAAGUGAAGCCAUUUUUACCGACAUUGGUGUUUGAUCUGUUGCGCUUGCGUUUCUGAGCUUUAAUAAGAUACUGACAUUGGAAAAAUAGCUAUUCGCAUUCUUGUACUUAGAAGUUAUUUUCGCGUUGUUGUUUAGAGCUAAACUGACACAUUAGGUGUCUUUUUUGAGCUCUUCCGACUGCCUUAACAACCUGAUUUUAUUGUGAGCACUGCUAUGUGUACCAAGGCAAUUUUUUGGUACGUUGGGCAGAAAAGAAUGGAAUGACUGCCAAUUUCAGUACCCUUUGUGAGAAUACCAAGGCAAAAGCAUUCAUUCUUGAAUACCUUACUAAGACUGGAAAAGAAAAGAAGGUUCCUUUCGUUCUCUUAACAUGUUGUUAUGUGGUUGUACACAUAACAAUUAUACUUUGUAUUGAAAGUUGAGAUUAAAAGGUUGCGGGAAUGAAAUCAAAUAGCUAUAUGAAAUUUUUGUGUCCCUAACUUAUAUUGCUCUCUUUGCAACUAAAAGGUUUUGAGUUGAUAAAAGGUGUCCACCUUGACCCAAUACCAUUUGACAUGGACUGAGAUCUUCUCACCCCCAACUUCCAGGAAAAAGAGGGGCAAGUUUCACAAAUACUAUCAGGUAAGCUCCUGUGAUCUAUGCCCUUAGAUUAAUUGAUCUAUGCCCUUAGAUUAAUUGGUCAAAGACUGAGACAAGUGUAGAAGUACCAUGUGUAACAAUGUUUGGUUAUUCAAUAACUAAUUUAUGUGUUCUGUAGCAGCCUAUGUUUCAAGGAGUGCUUCUGGUUUCUGACUUUAUUAUUUGUAUGCUUAAGAGUCUAGAAGAUCAACAUGUCUUCAGUCACGGAGUACAUCAAAUAAUUGAUUUCAGUUUCUCACCUAUAAUUGAUUUCAAUGUGUAAUCAAUAUAAACUCAAUCUUCAACCCAAUUGCUUGGAUGUUUGUUUGUUUGAGUGGGCUAAGCGAUGGUGAAUUUGUGAUUCCAUGCCUUCUCUUUGUUUUAAUAACUUUGGUUAUUCAUGGCAAGUGGCUGAGAUGUUCAGUCGACUCCCUCCCUCUUUGUGGGGGGCUCAUCAUUGUGUUCUGAACCCCACAACCUAAUGAAGUCGGUAGGAGUAUUGUUACCUAUGAGAAUGUCCAUGAUGAAAUCCAAGCUAACUGAGUGAAAUGCCUUCACAAGAUCAACCUUUAUGGCGCACCGCGGGGAACCUUGAAGCCUAUCAUUCAAACAUUCCAGUUUUGUUGUCUCUAUAUUUUUUGAUAGUUGAUUUCACUUACAUAUUUACUAGACUCAACUACUUGCACAAUUUCACAAACAUUCAAUAUCGCUCUCCUCAACGGGCAUGACAGACGUGCUUUGCACGUCGCGAUGCACCUAGUUUCUUUAUAAAAGCAUCUCAUGUUUGUCAGACUUUUCCAUUUUCCAAAUUACCCUUCCUACUUCUACUCCCAAAAAACAGACGCAUCCUUACUCCCAAAAAAACGGAUGCAACGAUUCCUUUCCUAUACUCCCAACUAUACCAUCACAACUACCCACCGCUCCAAAUGGAAACCCACUCCAAUACUCCAUCUCCAAUCCCCAAAGUCUCUGCCAAAGAUUUUUCCAAUUCAAACCUCCACCGUCCACCGUACCUCCCUAUACCGUUUCGGCCGCCGGAAUAAAUUGCCCAGUAAGUCCAACUUAAUUCAUUGUCCAACCUCCACCUCUAUCUAAAUGCGUAUACAUAUACAUCUGCAUUUAUCCGUGCUUCGUAAUUAAGGAUAGCAUAAUGCACACCAAAAGUUCGAUAAAAUUAUGCAACUUUAGUUGGUGUUCUGCCCAUAGUGUUUGAUAUAUUGCUUCUAUGAGGAUUGAAUAUGGUUACCCUGAUAUAAGGCAAAAUUAACUAUGGAAUCUGGAAAUUUGUUGUGGGUUUUGGAGUUUUGGCGUUUAGCCUUGAUCCUCCUUUGAUUUAUUGCCAGGAUAACAAACGCAAAGGGUUGUUCCAUUGGUGGGAAGUCAUGUACACUAACUGUUUGAUAUAAUUCCCAAGCAUUAUUGGGUGGUGGUUCCAUUGUUUCGUUGAAACAUUUAGUACUUCUAAUAUUAUGUACCUGGUUUUUGGUGACAAGGGAGUAUCAUCUGUUUAUGCAUAGAACACAUCAAUCGAGAGUAACUUAAAAUCAUUUACUUAAAAGGAACUCCCUCUUGGUUGGAGUAAUUCAUUCCUAUAUAAAAGAAGGAUCUGGAAAUGCAAACAAAUUGUUUUCUACAAAGUGUUGAACAAGUUCUUUAGGUUACGUCAUUAUAUCCAGUUACCAAAACAUUGCUGACAAGCUGAAACUUUUUCCUAAUCAUGUUUCUUGGCUUUUAGUAUUUCUAAAAGCAUAUUGGCCUAUAUAGCCAAUUGCCCAGUUGGUAUUACUUUUGUCAUAGAUUUUGUGGUAGAGGCUUCCAGAUUUGGAUGUAUUUAUAUGUAUAAUCAGAGGUGUACUUUCAAUUCACAUUAGGUUGGUGCCUACUUGGCGUUGAUUAGGUGAUGUAAAUUCUUAUGAAUACACAAUGUAUGUGUUGAUGCCAUGCACUGUUAAAAGACUUUCCUACUUGCUUGUCAAGAUUGCUUAGCCCGGUUGUUCAACUACGCACAAAUAGCAUAAAGUUUAUUAACAGAUAGAGGAAGCACAGGUGAAAUUCAUUUAUUUGCGCUACUGUUCUAACUUUCCUUCUAUUUUUCCAUUCAUCUUCUAACUUCUGAGUGUCAUUUGAGUACUUACCUUAAACUAAAUCUUUCAUUUUUGGAAGUUGGAAUGUGUUGGGUAGGAGAAAGAGGAAAAGGUGAUGACAUGAUAUGGAAUUGAAGUGGAGAACUCAAUAUUUUCUUCUAACAUGGACAGGUAUGGACCGUACAUAUGGCAAGAAAAGUUUAAGGUUGACCAACGAGAGUUGCACAUUUUGUUUUCUUUUUUUGAGUUAAAAGUUAAAGAUCGGGCAUUACAUUACAUGUUACUUGCGGGUUUUACACAUUUUGUUUGAUAUGUUGAUUUUUUUUCCCUUUUAAGAUUUUAGAUUAUUGAGAAUACUGAUACCCCAAAAAAAAAACCUCCAUUUUUUUUUAAUGUUUUUGGAUUUAAUGUUUUUUCCCCCUCCAAGUGUGAAGCGGCCACAUAUUUGCCAAUUUUAUUUAAAAUAAAUUAUUGAAUUUUUGCCAAUUUCUUUAGUGAGUUAUGACAUUUAAAGGAGUCGAUGCCGUUCCUAUUUCGGUGAUGACAGAGAUAAUUGCAGUCAUUUGCAGAUGACCUUUAAAUCAAGUACCAUAAAAUCAAGUACCAUAUGGACUACACAAUUACUACAUUGAUCUAGAUUUGUGUGAUUCAACCCGUGAAAGGGGUGGGGGACGCAAAAGUGGGUCAGGAUAAUUUUGUGGUUUUAUGUUGUUGAUAAGAGUCAUCUGCCAGUGAUCUCUACCAAUUACUGAUUUGCAUGUAUAGAUUGUCGGUUUAGAGAAGGAUUUGACGUAUAUGGAUAGUAAUGGAGGUAAUCGAAGCAAAUUGGAUGCAGGCAGUCGUGGUUGGUUAAUUUUAAGUGAGGAAAAGGGAGAAAACUAGAUCUUUUGGCAAUGGCAAAGUAGACGGGAUGGAUCCGAGAGGUAAAGGAGAAAAAAAUUGGGGAGAGAGAGAGAGGGAGAGAGAGGCUGUUGAGAAGAAGAUGGGUGCCAGAAGCCUACAAUUCGCAUCCCAGAGUCUGUGGAGGGUGAAAUGGUCAGCAAAUCCUAAAUGUCGUGGCACCAAGAGAAUUCAUGGUGACAGAUCACUGUCCUUGGCAUUAUUUGUUUUGAUAUUCCUGUGAACUUGACAGAUUAAAUCUAAUGAGUUUCGAAUUCUCUUUAUUGACUAGCCAAGUUUUUGCUUGCUUAACAAUGAGCCGAGAUGAAAGCAAUGGAAGGUUGUUUUACUGAAGGAAGGGGGUUGUGUCAAUUAAAUUGUUCCCUUUGUAAUUCUACAUUCAAUUUUUCGCUGUUCCACCUGCUCUUUUGCCCUAUUUUUGUUCCUGUUCAUUCCUUGUGUUUCUUUUUACAGAGAAUCUUGAGUAUCGACCAAUAGAAUAAAUGAAAGGUUGCACUGGAAUCAUUCUUCCGAU